CUACGGGGCGCAGCAGUGGGGAAUUUUGCGCAAUGGGGGCAACCCUGACGCAGCAAUACCGCGUGAGUGAAGAAGGCCUUUGGGUCGUAAAGCUCUUUUCUAAGGGAAGAUAGUGACGGUACCUUAGGAAUAAGCACCGGCUAACUCCGUGCCAGCAGCCGCGGUAAUACGGAGGGUGCGAGCGUUGUUCGGAUUUACUGGGCGUAAAGGGCACGUAGGCGGCCUAGCAAGUUAAGGGUGAAAUCCCGGGGCUCAACUCCGGAACUUCUCUUAAAACUGCUAAGCUAGAGAUAGUCAGAGGCGGGUGGAAUUCCAGGUGUAGAGGUGAAAUUCGUAGAUAUCUGGAGGAACACCGGUGGCGAAGGCGGCCCGCUGGGGCUAUUCUGACGCUGAGGUGCGAAAGCGUGGGGAGCGAACGGGAUUAGAUACCCUUGUAGUC
rnacentral:rRNA from 1 species